rnacentral:rRNA from 1 species
UACGUAGGGGGCAAGUGUUGUCCGGAAUUAUUGGGCGUAAAGAGCGCGUAGGCGGUCCGAUAAGUCGGCUGUGAAAGUCAGGGGCUCAACCCUUGAAAGCCGGCCGAUACUGUCGGACUAGAGUCCGGAAGAGGCGAGUGGAAUUCCUGGUGUAGCGGUGAAAUGCGCAGAUAUCAGGAAGAACACCCGUGGCGAAAGCGGCUCUCUGGAACGGUACUGACGCUGAGACGCGAAAGCGUGGGGAGCGAACAGG